CAAUACUUAGUGGCAGACGGGUGAGUAACAUGUGGGUAUCUUCCCUUUGGUGAGGAAUAACACGAGGAAACUUGUGCUAAUACCUCAUAGGUCUUUACGGAGAAAGCUUUAUGCGCCAAUGGAUGAGCCCGCACUUGAUUAGUUUGUUGGUGGGGUAAUGGCCUACCAAGACUUUGAUCAAUAGCUGAUCUGAGAGGAUGAUCAGCCACAUUGGGACUGAGACACGGCCCAAACUCCUACGGGAGGCAGCAGUAGGGAAUAUUGCACAAUGGAGGAAACUCUGAUGCAGCGAUGCCGCGUGAGUGAAGAAGGCCUUUGGGUUGUAAAGCUCUUUCGUCGGGGAAGAAAAUGACUGUACCCGAAUAAGAAGGUCCGGCUAACUUCGUGCCAGCAGCCGCGGUAAUACGAAGGGACCUAGCGUAGUUCGGAAUUACUGGGCUUAAAGAGUUCGUAGGUGGUUAAAAAAGUUGGUUGUGAAAUCCCGGAGCUUAACUCCGGAACUGCAAUCAAAACUUUUUAGCUAGAGUAUGAUAGAGGAAAGCAGAAUUUCUAGUGUAGAGGUGAAAUUCGUAGAUAUUAGAAAGAAUACCAAUUGCGAAGGCAGCUUUCUGGAUCAUUACUGACACUGAGGAACGAAAGCAUGGGUAGCGAAGAGGAUUAGAUACCCUCGUAGUCCAUGCCGUAAACGAUGUGUGUUAGACGCUGGAAAUUUAUUUUUUGUGUCGCAGCGAAAGCAAUAAACACACCGCCUGGGGAGUACGACCGCAAGGGUUAAAACUCAAAUGAAUUGACGGGGACCCGCACAAGUAGUGG
rnacentral:rRNA from 1 species